UGAUUAUCAAUAAAUCUAAUGGGCUGACACGAUCUUGGCAGGUGUUGCAAUUUAAACGCAGACCGAUACUCUACAUUCGUAUUACUGGCGUUGACAGUUCAGAAGGAAAGGAGUUUCGUUGUGUAUAUUUGGAGGCUCCCGCUCAAGUACCAUUGGAUUCCUACGUCGAAGACGAUCUUGAGGAGGACAACGAAACAGAUAUUACGGUCGCCUAAACCAUAUUUAAGUUAUUAUCAUAUUUGUGUUUGUUACACGCUCGC